AUUGAACGCUGGCGGCAGGCCUAACACAUGCAAGUCGAACGAGCGGCGGACGGGUGAGUAAUGUCUGGGAAACUGCCCGAUGGAGGGGGAUAACUACUGGAAACGGUAGCUAAUACCGCAUACCAUCGGAUGUGCCCAGAUGGGAUUAGCUAGUAGGUGGGGUAACGGCUCACCUAGGCGACGAUCCCUAGCUGGUCUGAGAGGAUGAUCAGCCACACUGGGACUGAGACACGGCCCAGACUCCUACGGGAGGCAGCAGUGGGGAAUAUUGCACAAUGGGCGCAAGCCUGAUGCAGCCAUGCCGCGUGUAUGAAGAAGGCCUUCGGGUUGUAAAGUACUUUCAGCGGGGAGGCGUUACCGGCAGAAGAAGCACCGGCUAACUCCGUGCCAGCAGCCGCGGUAAUAC
rnacentral:rRNA from 1 species